rnacentral:lncRNA from 1 species
CUAGGAUGAAAUUUGAAAAAAAAUAGGCAGGACAGGAGUUUUGAGUGAAAAAAAAGGCAGGAUAUGACACUUGCAAAAAAAAAAAAGUCAGGACGACAAUUUAGUAAAAAAAAGUCAGGAUAAACUAAAAAAAAAAAAAAAAAAAGGCAGGACCGAUUAGAGUGAAAAAUAAAAAGGCAGGACAGAGAUUACAGCUAAAAAAAAUGCAGGACAAAAUUUUUCAUCCUAGCCCCCCCCCCCCCCCAUAAAAAUCAAAUGGUAGCUCCCUUAUCAUUUUAAAACAUUUAGCUUUGGUGUAAUGUAGAUAGUAAAAGGUUGGCUAACGUUGCAUUCUUUUAGGUUAGAGUGUUCAGUUAAAAUUUUGGGCCUCAACAUUUUGUCUUUAUAGUGGUUGCACAACAGGUUACUAUAACUGUAGACCAGUUCAAUAGGAAGACAGAUACUCUUACUAGGGAAAAUUAUCUUAAACACUCAGCCA